UCUCGCCUUCUUUACUAAUCAUUGAUAUUAUGUUGAUACUCCUAAAUAUAAAGCUUUAUUACAACUGUCACAUAAACUUAACAUGAACCAUGAAAAUGAGGUCAAGGUCAGUUAAACCAUAUGUCAGGCAGACAUGUACAGCUAACAAUGCUUCCAUACAACAAAUAUAGUUGACCUAUUGCUUAUAGUUUAAGAAAAUAGACCAAAACACAAAAAUUUAACACAGAGCAAUGAACCGUGAAAACCAGAAAACCAGGUCAAGGUCAAAUAAAAUCUGCACGAUUGACAUAUAGAUCAUAAAAUAUUUCCAUACACCAAAUAUAGUUGACCUAUGACAUAUAGUAUAAGAUAAAAAGACCAAAACUCAAAAACUUAACUUUGACAACUGAACCAUGAAAAUGAGGUCAAGGUCAGAUGACAUCUGCCCGCUAGACAUGUACACCUUACAAUCAUUCCAUACAACAAAUAUAGUAAACCUAUUGCAUAAAGUAUGAGAAAAACAGACAAAAACACAAAAACUUAACUAUAACCACUGAACCAUGAAAAUGAGGUUAAGGUCAGAUGACAUCUGCCCGCUAGACAUGUACACCUUACA
rnacentral:lncRNA from 1 species